rnacentral:rRNA from 1 species
AGAGUUUGAUCCUGGCUCAGAACGAACGCUAGCGGCAGGCCUAACACAUGCAAGUCGAGCGAGUAUUCAGCUUUUGAAUGCUAGCGGCGAACGGGUGAGUAACGCGUGAGAAUCUACCUUAUUCUUAGGGAUAGUGUAAGGAAUAUCUUGCAGUAAUACCGCAUAAGUCCUGUAUCAGGCAAAGAGUUUAGCGGAAUAAGAUGAGUUUGCGUUAGAUUAGCUAGUUGGUGGGGUAAAGGCCUACCAAGGCGAUGAUCUAUAGCUGGUCUGGGAGGACGACCAGCCACAUUGGGACUGAGACAAGGCCCAAACUUCUACGGAAGGCAGCAGUGGGGAAUAUUGGACAAUGGGCGAAAGCCUGAUCCAGCUAUGUCGCGUGAGUGAUGAAGGUUGUGUGAAUAUCGAUGAAUAUUUUAACUGUAAAGCUCUUUUAUCGGUGAUAAUUAUGAUUGUAACCGAAGAAUAAGCUCCGGCUAACUCCGUGCCAGCAGCCGCGGUAAUACGGGGGGAGCAAGUGUUGUUCGGAUUUAUUGGGCGUAAAGGGCGCGUAGGCGGUUUGAUAAGUUGAUACUUAAAUUUUGAGGCUUAACCUCAUUAAAAGUGUCAAUACUGUUAAGCUAGAGCUUAGUGGGGGUGAACGGAAUUCCAAGUGUAGAGGUGAAAUUCGUAGAUAUUUGGAGGAACGCCGGAGGCGAAGGCGGUUCAUUAUGCUAAGUUGACGCUAAUGCGCGAAAGCGUGGGGAGCAAACAGGAUUAGAUACCCUGGUAGUCCACGCCGUAAACGAUGAGUGCUAACAG